UAUCAGCAGGACCAUAUGUGUCUGCAGAGAUAGCAAAAGCCAGAGACUGCCAUAAUUUAGCCAAAUAAACAACUCCACAUACAAGAAAUGACAUGUGGCAGAAGAGAUCCAGGAAAGGACAAGGUUUAAGCCUCCUAAAUUCAGAGGCUUUUUGCUUCAAGAGAGCAGAGGCAACAGGCAACCCAAUAGCCACAGAUUUCUCUGCAACACCAAUUUCUAUCAGGGAGAAGUCAAGAAGGACAAACCAUAGGCAAAGCAGAGAAUACAGACUUCUUCAAAACUGAUGCAUCUAAACUGAGGAUUUUUUGUGUGUAUGAAGGGCAUUGGAUAAACAUUUGGGUCCUGGAAAAGGCAGGGCCAGCUGGCCACCAACAACCACCAGGCAUUGGACCAGGCCAACAGGAGCCCUCAAUCUCCAUUCCACCGAGGUGGAGGCAUGACCAGGCAGAAGAGAAGGCAGGAAGCAGUGAUCAACUGGAAAACUACCAUGAAAAAAAACCAAGGACUACCACAAAAACAUGAAAACCCAGGGAAAAAAAAUCCUAACAAAACACUGCAAUAGGUUACCUUUAUGUGAAUGACUCUUCACGCUCGCCUAGACUGAGUCACUCUGGGAACUGCCUCGCGGUCCAUCUGGCUGCCAACUCCUGGCUAAACUUGAACAUCCUGUGACUGAAAUGAAUGCAUCAAAGGCUAAGGCACCGCAAGGUAACAAGGUUUUCUUUGUCCAGCACUUCCAGAUGCACCAGCAUUCCCCUUCUGCUAACUCUCACAUAUCCUCUGGGUCUGUGUUUGGUAUAUUUCUGACUUUCAGCAGCUGUAAAGAAAGGGUAGACUUGAACUUUGCCUCUCACUCUAAUUUCAUGGACCUCCUCAAUCCAUCUCUGGCCAUGUAUCAGUGAUAGUAUAGUUCUGGAUGUAAAACUGUUUACGAUUUUUCAUUGCUCUGGACAUAAAAUUUUGCUACCACCUAUGUAAACAACUUUCAAAUACUGGAGGAUGCAGUUGCUGAAGAGGAAUGUAGGCAUAGAAACCACUCUGACACGAUCUUACAGAAAGUGAGACUGCACUGCUGGAUACUGCACUUCCACAGACUUUCAAACCACUUAGUUGUAGUGGAAGGGGGAAGGGAAAAAAAUAUAUUAAAAAAGUAUUCUUUACAUUCCCAGCUUUCCUCCCUAAAUCAGGAACACACUCCUAUCUCUUAGGUGGCAAUAUAAACUUAAAUAAUCUUUCCUGCCCUCACUAAAACUAUUUUUAAACCAGUAGUCAGGUACAAAACAAAUGUCCCAUCAAAUGCAAUGGGUAUUACUCAGUGAUGAUAAACACUAUACACCCACCUAGACUUUUCACUUGAUGUGGUUGGAAACUGCUAUGUAAGGUGGAAAAAGUAAGGCAGGCUGCUUUAUUUUUGGCAUUUACUUUAGAGUUUAGGCUUACAGCAAGAGUACAUUUACUCUGGCUCCGUGUGCUGCUUACAGCCAACUGUGUAAAGAUAUUUAGUGGCUAUUUUUUUGUCUGGAAGAAAGACACCCCCCACCUCCCUUGUGUCUCCUACUCCACCACACUGCCAGGCUGCAAGAAGGGAGCGUGCUGGGAGGGGACCUUCUCCUUCUCGUCUGACAGAGCAGAGCUCAGCAAGGUAAAGCUCUGUCUAGCCAACAAAGCUCUUUACCACGAAUAUCCUUAUUAAACACAGCCUUAUCAGAGACCAGUUUCUGCAGUCUGAAGCAGUCAGGAAUUAACUCUGUCAAUAUAAAAUUUCAAGCCAGGAUUAGAGCCCAGACCCAAGGGGAUGUGAGCAAGCGUUCAAGCCACAGCAGAGCCACCUGACCAUGCUCACACCAUGGCAGGGGGACUGCCCAAGGGGCCAGGGCUCAGACUGUGCACCCACCACCCUGGUGCUACCCCAGCCCCCCGAAGGGCUCACUCCCCAGGCUGCUGCAGCAGGGGAAGGGGGAUGCUGAAACUUGUCUGCCUAGCAGGAUGGAAGGGAAAGGCUCUGCCAGUGCUUCCAAAAGAAGGAAGGCUGAAGGAAGAUCCUGGUACAGCAGCAUCACCUGUAUGCAGAGGGCAUGAAAAGCCAGCCUGAAAGGGGCAGACAGCACUCCACAAGUGUAGCCCAGGACUGCUGGCAUGGGAGGUUCACCAGCACCUCGCAAAAAGGUGCCACCAUCCAGCAAGGUGCAUGGCCAAGAUACAGAUUCAUUCAAUGUGCUCCUUUGUCAGCCUCUGGCUCUAAUCCCCACCCACAGGAUCAGGCUGUGCCUCUUGCCUUAUCCACAAGAUAAAGCUGUCUAUCCCCGACACAGCCCUCAGGGCUGUGGCACCAGUGCUGCCUCUGCCUUCGCUCCAGGGCGAGCCUCCUCCACUGGCACGGCACGGCACAGCAUGGCACGGCACGGCUGCCUGACUGGCCUGCAGAAGGUGUGAGCUUUGCCCACAACUCCAUGAGUCAAGGCCUUAAUGGUGACCUUGCUUCUCUUACAUAUUGAAAGCUGCCAAUGCUAUUGAUGGGGACUCUGUGAAACACGUUUGUAAUACCGAGCUAAUAAGGCAGCAGUGAGCCUCUAGUGCCCUGUCAUUAGCAAUCCCAGUGAAAAAGCCUUCAUGCUACCUUUCCCUAUAAAAUACCUGUCCACCUCCAAGUAAGGCAGAAGUACAUUUCAGUGCAUGCUUAAACUACAGUAAUUUUAAACUCUUUCCCUGAGCUUAUUUUACAGCAGCUACUAAACGGUUAAGCUCAUUACUGAGUCCAAAUAUGAACGUAGGGAACAUACUUCCAUUGCUUUUGGCACAAAGUAAGUGCAAAAGUUGCCUUUCUGCUUGACUAAAAGCCUGAAAAGCAAACAACGCACACAGCAUACAUUGUUCAAGAAGGGAGUGCAAACAAGCCUAAAAGCAGAUUAACUUUGAAGGUGUCAUGCAGGAGCAAAGCAGGCAGCACCUGCUGUUCCCAGCCCAGCACCCGAGGCAGCGGGUGCAGAACCCAGCACCAACUGGGAUCCUGACCAUUAAUCUCCUCGUCAACACUGGGAAAACCAAAGCUGCACUUCAGAAAACAUGCAGCUAUUAAAAGAAAUUAAAAUUAAAAAAAAAGAAGAAGAGGUACAGUCCUAAGAGCUUUAACAACACAAGGCCUUCACUUCCAAAGAGCAAGAGCACACACUCCUUAUUUUAAGACUUAUUCAUCCUUUUCUAAACAAAAUGAAGAAGCUUGCAGCUAGCCAAAACCUUUAGGGAAAUUUUUAGUCACCAGAGGCAGUAGCACAUGCCUUGAUUCCUACUCAAGUCUGCAGAAAUCAGGUGCCCAACCCAUCUGUGCCUCUGAAAUCCCCUCAGUAACAGCUUAAUGCUACAAAAGGGAGAAACAAACGAGUUUUGUCUAUAGGCUGCUUCUCAAACAAAGAAUACAAAUUGCAUGUGACAUGCUGCUGCACAAGUUUGACUGUAUGUGUCUAUGUGCAAGUGGAAGGGCUAAUGGAGAAGUAUGCCAGCUUCAGAAGGGCAUAUUGCUGCCAGUCAUUUUUAAUAAAAAAAUGAAAUAAAGUAAAAUAAGAUAAAGUAUAAUAAAUAAGAUAAAAUAAAAUGAAAUAAAAUG